rnacentral:rRNA from 1 species
UCCGGUUGAUCCUGCCAGAGGCCGCUGCUAUCCGGCUGGGACUAAGCCAUGCUAGUCUAGGGGCUUGUACUCCUUCGGGGGUGCAAGCACCGGCGGACGGCUCAGUAACACGUGGACAACCUGCCCUCGGGUGGGGGAUAACCCCGGGAAACUGGGGCUAAUCCCCCAUAGGUGAUGGGUGCUGGAAUGCCCCAUCUCCGAAAGCGCUUAGCGCCCGAGGAUGGGUCUGCGGCGGAUUAGGUAGUUGGUGGGGUAACGGCCCACCAAGCCUAAGAUCCGUACGGGCUGUGGGAGCAGGAGCCCGGAGAUGGACCCUGAGACAAGGGUCCAGGCCCUACGGGGCGCAGCAGGCGCGAAACCUCCGCAAUGCGGGAAACCGCGACGGGGUUAGCCGGAGUGCCCGUGCAUUGCACGGGCUGUCGGGGUGCCUAAACAGCACCCCAUAGCAAGGGCCGGGCAAGGCCGGUGGCAGCCGCCGCGGUAAGACCGGCGGCCCGAGUGGCGGCCACUCUUAUUGGGCCUAAAGCGUCCGUAGCCGGCCCAGUAAGUCCCCCGGGAAAUCUGGUCGCUUAACGAUCAGACUUCCGGGGGAUACUGCUGGGCUAGGGACCGGGAGAGGCCGAGGGUAUUCCCGGGGUAGGGGUGAAAUCCUGUAAUCCCGGGAGGACCACCUGUGGCGA